UUCUCCCCUUAACGCAACAGCAACACGCAGGAGUCGCCUUCCUCUCCCAGUCCGGCUGAGUCAAAAUUGGGUUGAGCAACCCCAGGCGGCUGUCGGGGAAGAAGCAUUUUCCACCAUAACUUUCUGGAGUGCUGCUGUGUUGGGGUCAGCCCUCAGGCUUCCUGACAAUGCAGCUUUGUUCCCGUUUCCUCCCCAUCCCUGAUCCAGCGCUGGGACGAUUGUGCUGCACAGCAGAGAGGCCCCCAGCUCAAACUCCCAGAGAUGAAAAAGGAUCUCGGUUAAAUAACCCCCGUAUCUUGGUGCCAGAAACAGACCAAGACCCACGUCACCUAGCUCCUGGACCACCGCUCCUCCUUACCCUGGGCUGCCACCAUGCAGUUGUGCAUCGGAGGCCGGGCUGUCCCAGAAACCCUCUGCGAGAGAAGCCACAGAACGGUAGGCUUCUUCUGACUGGCACCUCCCAUUUACAGAACUCAAAUUGAAGACACUGUAAAACAGUGCCGGGCUGCAGCAGAGGACAAGACAGGCAAAAGUCCCUCCUCCUGUGCCACGUGCCUGCUCCGUGGGAAGAGGCAAUAAGCAAAGUCAACGUAACUUGUGAGGCGACUGGUUGUUGGUGCCCACCCCCUCAAAGAGGAUGCUCCUCAAGCUUAAAGGGUUGCAGUUCCAACCUCGCAUCCAAUUUCAAGUUUUAGACUACAUCUGAAAUGACCUCAAAGGGAUAAUCAUCUAUUAACCCCUUUGAUGAUUUCCAAAGUUCAAGAAUGAAACAAAAGAAAAGCCACCCUAAAUGAAAGGAAAAAACACUGAACUUUUACCACACGAAUUCAUUGAUCCCUGUUUCUAGGACUUUACAGAGUGGCCUUUGCACUGCAUUUUCUGUCUUCUGAAUGUGACCAGCUGUGAGUGAAAAAGCCCACUUGCCAUCUGAUGACUCCAAAAUGCAGCCUACCAGUCGGCAAACUUAACUCUUAAGUAAGAGCAGACAGCCAGAAAACUUCAGAUGCUUAGGGAAUCCCUUCAGCGUGAAAGAUGGAGAUGAUAACAAACAGUGAUAAAGCAAACUGGAGGAGGCAGAGGCAAUUCAGAAAGUAGAAAACUACCAAUGAAUAUAUGGUUAGUCUCAUCAGUGUCUUCAGAGAGGUGGGAGCAAUAUUGUAUCAUGAAACAAGAAUAAGAUGCAAAAACAACAACAAAAGGAACCAUGAAAAUUAAGAAAAAGUGCUUGAGAACUAAAGAUACAAUAAACUCAGUGGAAGAUGUAAAAAAUAAAGUUGAAGGACUCUUCCAAAAGAUCGGAGAAAAUGUGUAAAGUGAUAGAUAAGAAGACAAAAAAAAAAAAAUAGGGAAUCAAUCCAGGGAGUUAUUUUUCU